rnacentral:rRNA from 1 species
UGGCGACCAUAGCAAGAGUGAACCACCUGAUCCCUUCCCGAACUCAGAAGUGAAACCUCUUAGCGCUGAUGGUAGUGUGGGGUUACCCAUGUGAGAG